UGGGGAAUAUUGCACAAUGGGGGGAAACCCCUGAUGCAGCGACGCCGCGUGAAGGAUGAAGUAUUUCGGUAUGUAAACUUCUAUCAGCAGGGAAGAAAAUGACGGUACCUGACUAAGAAGCCCCGGCUAACUACGUGCC
rnacentral:rRNA from 1 species